GAUGAACGCUGGCGGCGUGCCUAAUACAUGCAAGUCGAGCGAACAGAUGAGGAGCUUGCUCCUCUGACGUUAGCGGCGGACGGGUGAGUAACACGUGGAUAACCUACCUAUAAGACUGGGAUAACUUCGGGAAACCGGAGCUAAUACCGGAUAAUAUAUUGAACCGCAUGGUUCAAUAGUGAAUGACGGCUUUGCUGUCACUUAUAGAUGGAUCCGCGCCGCAUUAGCUAGUUGGUAAGGUAACGGCUUACCAAGGCAACGAUGCGUAGCCGACCUGAGAGGAUGAUCGGCCACACUGGAACUGAGACACGGUCCAGACUCCUACGGGAGGCAGCAGUAGGGAAUCUUCCGCAAAGGGCGAAAGCCUGACGGAGCAACGCCGCGUGAGUGAUGAAGGUCUUCGGAUCGUAAAACUCUGUUAUUAGGGAAGAACAAAUGUGUAAGUAACUAUGCACGUCUUGACGGUACCUAAUCAGAAAGCCACGGCUAACUACGUG
rnacentral:rRNA from 1 species